AUACGGAGGGGGUUAGCGUUGUUCGGAAUUACUGGGCGUAAAGCGCACGUAGGCGGACUGGAAAGUUGGGGGUGAAAUCCCGGGGCUCAACCCCGGAACUGCCUCCAAAACUUCCAAUCUAGAGAUCGAGAGAGGUGAGUGGAAUUCCAAGUGUAGAGGUGAAAUUCGUAGAUAUUUGGAGGAACACCAGUGGCGAAGGCGGCUCACUGGCUCGAUACUGACGCUGAGGUGCGAAAGCGUGGGGAGCAAGCAGGAUUAGAAACCCCAGUAGUCC
rnacentral:rRNA from 1 species